rnacentral:rRNA from 1 species
GUUUUUACGGGGUUCUGAAUUGACUCUAAACAGGUCGAGUAUAGGGGGCGGGAAAUAUCGGUGCCAGCCGCCGCGGUAAUACCGAAGCCCCAAGUGGUCGUCGUUCUUAUGGGGCCUAAAACGUCCGUAGCCGGUUUGGUACAUUCGUGGGUAAAUCAGACAGCUUAACUGUCUGAAUUCUGCGAGCACGGCCAAACUUGAGACCGGGAGAGGUGUAGGGUACCUGCGGGGUAGGGGUAAAAUCCUGUCAUCCCGUAGGGACCACCAGUUGCGAAGGCUCUACACUAGAACGGAUCUGACGGUCAGGGACGAAGCCUAGGGGCACGAACCGGAUUAGAUACCCGGGUAGUCCUAGGUGUAAACGCUGUGGACUUUGUGUCGGGAAUUCUUCGAGGAUUCUCGGUGCCGGAGUGAAGAUGUUAAGUCCACUGCCUGGGGAGUACGGUUGCAAGGCUGAAACUUAAAGGAAUUGGCGGGGGAGCACUGCGACGAGAGGAGCGUGCGGUUUAAUUGGAUUCAACGCCGGAAAACUCACCAAAGCCGACUGUUAUAUGAAGACCAGCGUAACGAGCUUGUCGGAUUUUCAGAGAGGUAGUGCAUGGCCGUCGUCAGUUCGUACCGUAAGGCGUUCUGUUAAGUCAGAUAACGAACGAGACCCCCAUCGUCAUUUGCUAACCCUUUCUCCGGAAAGGGCGCACUAUGGCGAGACCGCUGGCGUGAAGUCAGAGGAAGGCGGGGGCAACGGUAGGUCAGUAUGCUCCGAAUGCUUUGGGCUACACGCGCGCUACAAAGGACGGGACAAUGGGCAGCUACUCCGAGAGGAGAUGCUAUCCCGAAACCCGUUCGUAGUUCGGAUCAUGGGCUGUAACUCGCCCUCGUGAAGCUGGAUUUCGUAGUAAUCGCGUCUCAAAAUGGCGCGGUGAAUAUGCCCCUGCUCCUUGCACACACCGCCCGUCAAACCAUCUUAGUUUGGGGUGGGUGAGGCUACCUUUUAUUGGGGUA